rnacentral:rRNA from 1 species
UACGUAGGGUGCGAGCGUUAAUCGGAAUUACUGGGCGUAAAGGGCUCGUAGGCGGCCAACUAAGUCAGACGUGAAAUCCCCAGGCUCAACCUGGGAACUGCGUCUGAUACUGGAUGGCUUGAAUCCGGGAGAGGGAUGCAGAAUUCCAGGUGUAGCGGUGAAAUGCGUAGAUAUCUGGAGGAAUACCGGUGGCGAAGGCGGCAUCCUGGACCGGCAUUGACGCUGAGGAGCGAAAGCCAGGGGAGCAAACGGG